rnacentral:rRNA from 1 species
GCGUGGGUGAAGAAGGCCUUAGGGUUGUAAAGCCCUUUCACCGGGGAAGAUGAUGACGGUACCCGGAGAAGAAGCCCCGGCUAACUCCGUGCCAGCAGCCGCGGUAAGACGGAGGGGGCUAGCGUUGUUCGGAAUUACUGGGCGUAAAGGGCGCGUAGGCGGCUCACCGAGUCAGGUGUGAAAGCCCCGGGCUUAACCCGGGAAUUGCACUUGAUACUGGUGAGCUCGAGUCCGGGAGAGGAUAGUGGAAUUCCCAGUGUAGAGGUGAAAUUCGU